GAGGGUGAGAGCCCCGUCGUGCCC
rnacentral:ncRNA from 2 species